rnacentral:rRNA from 1 species
CACCUAACAGCUAGCUUACCUAUUAAACUACACCAAACACUAUUAUUACCCCCUAACAUCUUAACAAACAAUAAUUAAAACAUUCUACCCCCUAAGUAUGGGCGACAGAAAAGGACCUUAAAAGCUAUAGAAAAAGUACCGCAAGGGAACGCUGAAAGAAAAAUGAAACAAAUUAGUAAAGUAUAACAAAGCAGAGCUUAACCCUCGUACCUUUUGCAUCAUGCCUUAGUGAGUUAACUUAAGCAAAAAGUUUUUAGUUUAACCCCCCGAAACUGGGUGAGCUACUCCAAGACAGUCUUUUAUAGGACACACCCGUCUCUGUGGCAAAAGAGUGGGAAGAGCUUUGAGUAGGGGUGACAGACCUACCGAACCUGGUUAUAGCUGGUUGCCUAAAAAUUGAAUAAAAGUUCAGCCUUUAUUAUUCUUUAAUCAAAACUAAUUUAAUUUUAACUAGACAACAAGAAAUAAUAAAGAGUUAGUCAAAGGAGGAACAGCCCCUUUGAAACAAGAAACAACUUUUCCAGAAGGAUAAAAUAUUAUACAAGGGCCAUUCCUCAGUGGGCCUAAAAGCAGCCACCUCAAAAGAAAGCGUUAAAGCUCAAAAUCUCAAACCCCUUAAAUCCCGCCUAUAAGAUUUUAUUCCCCUUGAUUUAUUAGGCUAUUUUAUUAACAUAAAAGCAACCAUACUAACAUGAGUAAUAAGAGACCCGAAUCUCUCUAAGAGUAUCUGUAACUCGGAACGGACCCACCCCCGAAAAUUAACGGCCCUAGCUGAAGGGCUUAUACUACACAAAAUCAACUAGAAACCCCUAUAAACACUAAACCGUUAACCCCACACAGGCACUCCCCUGAAGAAAGACUAAAAGGAGCAUAAGGAACUCGGCAAACACGCACACAAGCCUCGCCUGUUUACCAAAAACAUCGCCUCUUGUAAUAACAUAAGAGGUCCUGCCUGCCCAGUGACACAAUGUUCAACGGCCGCGGUAUUUUGACCGCGUGAAGGUAGCGUAAUCAUUUGUCUUUUAAAUGAAGACCUGUAUGAAUGGCAUAACGAGGGCUUAGCUGUCUCAUCCUCCCAGUCAAUGAAAUUGAUCUCCCCGUGCAGAAGCGGGGAUAAACACAUAAGACGAAAAGACCCUGUGGAGCUUUAGAUUACAGAGCAGCCUUAAUAAAACUUUUUAAAGCCCCUGCUCAUUUAUCUUCGGUUGGGGCGACCACGGAGAAAACUUAUCCUCCACGCUGCACAAAACACCAUGUUUUUAUAGCCAAGACCGACAGCUCUAAGCACCAGAAUCUCUGACCCCAAAGAUCCGGACACACCGAUCAACGAACCAAGUUACCCCAGGGAUAACAGCGCAAUCCCCUUCUAGAGCCCCUAUCGACAAGGGGGUUUACGACCUCGAUGUUGGAUCAGGGCAUCCUAAUGGCGCAACCACUAUUAAGGGUUCGUUUGUUCAACGAUUAAAGCCCUACGUGAUCUGAGUUCAGACCGGAGCAAUCCAGGUCAGUUUCUAUCUAUGACCGUGCUUUCUUUCAGUACGAAAGGACCAAAGAAAAAAGGCCCAUCCCCAGAGAACGCCUUACCCUUACCUGAUGAAAACAACUAAAACAGAUAAAAGAGCACAACUUUACAGACGACUAAGAUAACGUCUUGUUAGGGUGGCAGAUCCCGGCUAACGCAAAAGACCUAAGCCCUUU